rnacentral:rRNA from 1 species
CCUACGGGUGGCUGCAGUGAGGAAUAUUGGUCAAUGGGCGCAAGCCUGAACCAGCCACGUCGCGUGGAGGAUGACUCCCCUACGGGUUGUAAACUUCUUUUAUAAAGGAAUAAAGUGCGGCACGUGUGCCUUUUUGUAUGUACUUUAUGAAUAAGGAUCGGCUAACUCCGUGCCAGCAGCCGCGGUAAUACGGAGGAUCCGAGCGUUAUCCGGAUUUAUUGGGUGUAAAGGGAGCGUAGAUGGGUUGUUAAGUCAGUUGUGAAAGUUUGCGGCACAACCGUAAAAUUGCAAUUGAUACUGGCAGUCUUGAGUACAGUUGAGGUAGGCGGAAUUCGUGGUGUAGCGGUGAAAUGCUUAGAUAUCACGAAGAACUCCGAUUGCGAAGGCAGCUUACUAAACUGCCACUGACAUUGAUGCUCGAAAGCGUGGGUAGCAAACAGGAUUAGAUACCCCAGUAGUC